UCUGUUACCACCAGAUAUGCCUUAGAAGAGGUCCUGAAAGGAGCACUAAAUAUGGAAAGGAAAGACCAUUAUGAGCCACUACAAAAACAAGCUUAAAUACACAGGCCAGUGACACUAUAAAUAACCAUAUAAACA